UUCAAGAGUCAAGACCGACCAAUCAGAGAAGAGAUUCAUCGUUACAUCCCUCUGUUCGAAACCGGAUCUGCUCAUUACACGUGGCACUUCACAUACAUUCCGCCAUGUUAUUAUUUAUGAGAAAUGCUCCUAAUUUACGGUGGGAUGUGCCUCUGUGAGGUCGUUGUGAAGUGCCCUGUGUGAGGAGCAUAUUCCAAUCCCCUCUGUUCUCGUUUUUUUAGAAGAUGACCCAUUAGUGAGGUGACUUGUGGAACUAGGGACCUGGGAGAAAGAAUGAGAGAUGAGAGAUCGGUUGGACAAAGCCGCCGGAUUAGUUGCCUUGGUGGUGACUCGGACUCUGAGUUGGAACCCGGCAGACGCCUCCGAGGAAAGGUGACAAACUGAAUAAGGUCAAACUGAUUACUGAUCCAAUGAUCAUGAGCGUCCACGUAUCACUGUAGAAUUAGAUAGGGGGAUGCCGGAGGCGGAGGCGGAGGCGGAGGCGGAGCUCCAAUUGUUGAACACCCGAUUCCCUUAUUUUUUAUAUUUAUUUAUAUAUUGAAAGAAAUUAAUAAAAGUGGGCCCUGACAUGGCGAUUGGCGAGAUAGACGUCGGCCUUGGCAUUGGGAUCUUGCUUUUCCUUCCUUCUGAGUUCUGAGUUGUCAAGCAGAAAGAAUAGAAAUAUAGAAUAGGCUGUCUGUGUAAAGUUAAGACCGUUGGAUUGAGACCACUGUGUAAAAGCCUGAUAUAGAAAAAGAAAAAGAAAAGGGCUAUCUCACUAGUCAUGAGGCCUGGUUAUGUGGAAACGCCGAACAUGUUGAUUUGAUUUGAGCAAUUCCGUCUGACCGGGAGACUCGAUCCACGUAUGGCCUAAAAAUAGAUUGCUUCUUUCUUCCUUUGAGAGAUUAGUGGUUGAUUUGGCUGAA